AUUGAACGCUGGCGGCAGGCCUAACACAUGCAAGUCGAACGAGUGGCGGACGGGUGAGUAAUGUCUGGGAAACUGCCCGAUGGAGGGGGAUCACUACUGGACACGGUCGCUAAUACCGCAUACCAUCGGAUGUGCACAGAUGGGAUUGGCUAGUAGGUGGGGUAACGGCGCACCUAGGCGACGAUCCCUAGCUGGUCUGAGAGGAUGACAAGCCACACUGGAACGGAGACACGGUCCAGACGCCUACGGGAGGCAGCAGUGGGGAAUAGUGCACAAUGGGCGCAAGCCUGAUGCAGCCAUGCCGCGUGUAUGAAGAAGGCCUUAGGGUUGUAAAGUACGUUCAGCUGGGAGGCGUUACUCGCAGAAGAAGCACCGGCUAACUCCGUGCCAGCAGCCGCGGUAAUUC
rnacentral:rRNA from 1 species